rnacentral:rRNA from 1 species
CCUACGGGGGGCAGCAGUGGGGAAUAUUGCGCAAUGGGCGAAAGCCUGACGCAGCGACGCCGCGUGAGGGAUGAAGGUCUUCGGAUCGUAAACCUCUGUCAGCAGGGAAGAACGGUCACUGUGCUAAUCAGCAGUGAAUUGACGGUACCUGCAAAGGAAGCACCGGCUAACUCCGUGCCAGCAGCCGCGGUAAUACGGAGGGGGCGAGCGUUAAUCGGAAUUACUGGGCGUAAAGCGCUCGUAGGCGGUAUGUCAAGUCAAGGGGGAAAUCCCCGCGCUCAAGGUGGGAACUGCCGUUGAAACUGGCAAACUGGAGUGUGUGAGAGGGUAGUGGAAUUCCAGGUGUAGGAGUGAAAUCCGUAGAUAUCUGGAGGAACAUCAGUGGCGAAGGCGACUAUCUGGCACAUAACUGACGCUGAGGAGCGAAAGCGUGGGUAGCAAACAGGAUUAGAUACCCGAGUAGUC